UACGAAGGGGGCUAGCGUUGCUCGGAAUCACUGGGCGUAAAGGGUGCGUAGGCGGGUCUUUUAAGUCAGGGGUGAAAUCCUGGAGCUCAACUCCAGAACUGCCUUUGAUACUGAAGAUCUUGAGUUCGGGAGAGGUGAGUGGAACUGCGAGUGUAGAGGUGAAAUUCGUAGAUAUUCGCAAGAACACCAGUGGCGAAGGCGGCUCACUGGCCCGAUACUGACGCUGAGGUACGAAAGCGUGGGGAGCAAACAGGG
rnacentral:rRNA from 1 species